CAACAGGGAUUGCCUUAGUAACGGCGAGUGAAGCGGCAACAGCUCAAAUUUGAAAGCUGGCCCUUUUAGGGUCCGCGUUGUAAUUUGUAGAGGAUGAUUCGGCGAGGGCUCCUGCCUAAGUCCCCUGGAACGGGGCGUCAUAGAGGGUGAGAAUCCCGUAUGCGGUAGGUUGCCUUAGCCAUGUGAAUCUCCUUCGACGAGUCGAGUUGUUUGGGAAUGCAGCUCUAAAUGGGAGGUAAAUUUCUUCUAAAGCUAAAUACUGGCCAGAGACCGAUAGCGCACAAGUAGAGUGAUCGAAAGAUGAAAAGCACUUUGGAAAGAGAGUUAAAAAGUACGUGAAAUUGUUGAAAGGGAAGCGCUUGCAACCAGACUUGUCCGCAGUUGCUCAGCCGGUCUCCUGACCGGCGUACUCUUCUGCGGCCAGGCCAGCAUCAGUUCGGGCGGUCGGAUAAAGGCCUCGGGAAUGUAGCUCCUCUCGGGGAGUGUUAUAGCCCGGGGUGGAAUGCGACCAGCCUGGACUGAGGAUCUCGCUUCGGCAAGGAUGCUGGCGUAAUGGUUGUAAGCGGCCCGUCUUGAAACACGGACCAAGGAGUCUAACAUCUAUGCGAGUGUUCGGGUGUCAAACCCGUACGCGUAAUGAAAGUGAACGGAGGUGGGAACCCGCAAGGGUGCACCAUCGGCCGAUCCUGAUGUCUUCGGAUGGAUUUGAGCAAGAGCAUAGCUGUUGGGACCCGAAAGAUGGUGAACUAUGCCUGAAUAGGGUGAAGCCAGAGGAAACUCUGGUGGAGGCUCGCAGCGGUUCUGACGUGCAAAUCGAUCGUCAAAUUUGGGUAUAGGGGCGAAAGACUAAUCGAACCAU
rnacentral:rRNA from 1 species